UUGCUCUUUUUUCUUUUAAAAAUGUAUUUAGCUUUAUGAAAAAUCUACUGCAAAGUUAUAAUGGCGGAUUCAAGGUUCUGAUAGGUUAUUGCAACUUCUCUUGUUUCUCCAGAGUGUUCUUCAGGAAAUAUUCAAGAAAAACCAGUUUGCCAUGGUAUGACUUUUGCGUACCUCUCAGCGGAAUAGACUACAUUCUAUUGCUAUGAAACUGCUAUAUGAGACCUUUUACAUGUUUUUACAUUGUUUAAAGUUGUUUUUGAAUUUUCCUUGUUGCUGUUUUUUAGUUAUAACAAUUUAGAUUCAGCCAUUUUGCUAAGAUGCCAUUGAUUGCUGCCAUUAA